rnacentral:rRNA from 1 species
CCUACGGGGGGCAGCAGUGGGGAAUCUUGCGCAAUGGGCGAAAGCCUGACGCAGCGACGCCGCGUGAGGGAUGAAGGGCCUUGGAUCGUAAACCCCUGUCAGUAGGGAAGAACGGUCACUGUGCUAAUCCGCAGUGAAUUGACGCGACUUGCAAUGGAAGCACCGGCUAACUCGGUGCCAGCAGCCGCGGUAAUACGGAGGGUACGAGCGUUAAUCGGAAUUACUGGGCGUAAAGCGCUCGUAGGCGGUAUGUCAAGUCAAGGGUGAAAUCCCCGCGCUCAACGUGGGAACGGCCUUUGAGACUGGCAGACUAGAGUAAGUGAGAGGGUAGUGGAAUUCCAGGUGUAGGAGUGAAAUCCGUAGAUAUCUGGAGGAACAUUAGUGGCGAAGGCGAGUAUCUGGCACAUAACUGACGCUGAGGAACGAAGGCGUGGGGAGCAAAAGGGAUUAGAUACCCUAGUAGUC